rnacentral:rRNA from 1 species
UGGGGAAUAUUGCGCAAUGGGCGAAAGCCUGACGCAGCGACGCCGCGUGGGGGAUGACGGCCUUCGGGUUGUAAACCUCUUUCAGCAGGGACGAAGCGAGAGUGACGGUACCUGCAGAAGAAGCACCGGCCAACUACGUGCCAGCAGCCGCGGUAAUACGUAGGGUGCAAGCGUUGUCCGGAAUUAUUGGGCAUAAAGAGCUCGUAGGCGGUUUGUUGCGUCGGCUGUGAAAACCUGAGGCUCAACCUCAGGCCUGCAGUCGAUACGAGCAGACUAGAGUGUUGCAGGGGAGACUGGAAUUCCUGGUGUAGCGGUGAAAUGCGCAGAUAUCAGGAGGAACACCGGUGGCGAAGGCGGGUCUCUGGGCAACAACUGACGCUGAGGAGCGAAAGCGUGGGGAGCGAACAGGAUUAGAUACCCUGGUAGUCCACGCCGUAAACGUUGGGCGCUAGGUGUGGGGCUCAUUCCACGGGCUCCGUGCCACAGCUAACGCAUUAAGCGCCCCCAGCCUGGGGGAGUACGGCCGCAAGGCUAAAACUUAAAUGAAUUGACGGGGU